AUUGCUCUGGGGUCGUCUUUUAAUCAUCUGGACCCUACAUUCAAAUGCCCAGGGGGCUGUUCCUGUCCGGCGGUGUGCAUGCCUAGUUCGACUAGGAAGCCUAAAACCGGCAUACGGCGCCCACUUUUAAUACCUGGGGCUCCAUUUGAAUCUGGCGAUUCCAGAGCACCU
rnacentral:other from 1 species